AUUGAACGCUGGCGGCAGGCUUAACACAUGCAAGUCGAACGAGUGGCGGACGGGUGAGUACUGCUUGGGACUCUAGCUUAUGGAGGGGGAUAACUACGGGCACCUGUAGCUAAUACCGCGUACCAUAGGCUGAGCCCCAGUGGGAUUAGGUAGUUGUUGAGGUAACGGCUCACCUAGGAGACGAUCCCUAGCUGGUCUGAGAGGAUGAUCAGCCAUACGGGGACUGAGACACGGCCCAGACUCCGACGGGAGGCAGCAGUGGGGAAUAUUGCACAAUGGGCGAAAGCCUGAUGCAGCCAUGCCGCGUGUAUGAAGAAGGCCUUCGGGUUGGAAAGUACUUUCAGUCGGGAGGCGUUACCGACAGAAGAAGCACCGGCUAACUCCGUGCCAGCAGCCGCGGUAAUAC
rnacentral:rRNA from 1 species